rnacentral:rRNA from 1 species
AUGCCAAUGGCAUUGCCGGGUAGCUAAGUACGGAAGAGAUAACCGCUGAAGGCAUCUAAGCGGGAAACUCGUCUGAAGAUUAGGUAUCCCGGGGACUUGAUCCCCCUAAAGAGUCGUUCAAGACCAGGACGUUGAUAGGUCGGGUGUGGAAGCGCAGUAAUGCGUUAAGCUAACCGAUACUAAUUGCUCGUGAGGCUUGAUCCUAUAACACUGAUGGUU